UUGGAAAUUCAAUCAAGAUUCCAUGGGUGA
rnacentral:piRNA from 1 species